rnacentral:lncRNA from 1 species
UUAUCCCCAUGUUGUAGAUGAGGAAACAGGACACAGAGAAAGUAAUGUGGCCAGGAUCUCAUGGCUGCUAAGUGGAAAUGGGCUUUGAUCACAGUGGUGAGAGUUCUGAGGCUAAUUCUUAGCCACAGGACUUACCUGGCAAGCCAUGUAAACAAUCAAGCUACAGGCUGCAGGAUGCCCAGUGAAGACGGGCAAGAACUGGUCCAGAGGCCAGACAGGCUGAGUUCAUCUGGGGCCCAUCCCACACCUGCUGGAGGCCAAGGGCAGGUGGUCCCUCUUUUCUGGGUCAUGGCUGUCCAGCCUGUUGAACCUUUGGAGGGUCAUGUGAGAACACUGCCUUGGGUCAGGCUUGGGAGAGAAAGAAGAGGUGUUCCCUGUGUAACUCUCCACCUUUCCUCCUUUCCUCCUUCCCUCCCUCCCUCUCUCCCUCUGUCUCCUCUCUCCCUCCCCAACCCCCCUGCUAUGUCAAGACACAGCCAGAAGGUGGCCAUCUAUAAACCAGAAAGAGAGCUUAACCAACCAUGUUGGGACUCUGAUUUUGAACUUCCAGCCUCCAGCCUGAGCUGACUGAGUGACUAAGAUGGAAGGGAAGGAGGGCAGAGAGUAAGCAACUACCAAGGAAUUGAGCUAAGUCUAGUGUGUGAAGGGGCUACUGGUGGAGAAGGAUUCAAGAGAGGGCUAGGCAAGAGAAAGCCAGUACUGGUCUGGUAUUUUAGCUGUGACCUGCCUUUCACAGCUAUACAGAGCCUUCGUUAGUGGCCUUGUGAAUGAGCUGUCUCCUAAAGUCUAGGUUGUACCAUGCCGUCUUUGAGGCUUGUAUAGGUUAAGUCAUUGGCUCUCAAACACACAGCUAGUAUGGGCAUAGCCAGAAGUGAGGUGUAUUGGAAAGUGUUUUAUAUCUGACUAAGUGUGACAGAUAUAUUCAGGUGUGUUCUAUCCACUUUAGAAAAAUGCUUUGGUUAUACCGAUCAGGAUAAAAACAAACAACAAAAAAACCCCUGCCAAUGUCCAAUGACACAGUAGGCUCUCCUUCCAUCUCUAUGUAAAUCCUGCCCAGUGUGUGUGUGUGUGUGUGUGUGUGUGUGUGUGAUUUUAGUGUGUAGGCAAUAUGUGGUAACAUAGACUGUGAUGGGAAUAAUCAGAGGAGUUAUGGGAUGGGGGGCAAAAGCAGGCAGCUGAUACCAUUUAGGAGGUCAGGAAGGUUGCCUGCCAAAGAUAAUCUGAUGGACUCAUUCCUAUUUACAGUGCUUCUGGAUCAGUAUGAGGAGGUUCUGAUCAAGGAGAGGAACCCGGUUCCUGGGGAUUACAGUUAGGCUGUGCAUUAACUCUUCCAUCACUGGCUCCCAGGAGCCUGGGGGGAUAACUCAGGGAGGGAGGGGUUUAGGCAGAGUCACUGGGGGUCAUGGCUGUUUACCUACCAUGUAGAGGCUGUCUCUAGUUUUCCAUCCAGCACUGCCUUUCUACUGUCAUCUCGCCAUUUGUGAGGUUUAGAGCAAAGUUACUGAGUUCACAAAAAUCCUAAAUCCUUCACUAGACAUGCUGACCUGAAUUUACCUGGUUAUCUUUUUCUCCAUUGCUUUUUGAAAUAAUGUUUUAUUUUAAGGUUUCCUUUUCCAUUGAUUGCAUGGCUAGUUCUUUAGCAUUUCUUAUUAAAUGGGACCCCCGGUUUUGGGCAUUUUAGUUUCUGUAUCAUCCUGCGUUAGUGGGUGUGUUGGGGCUUUUUUUCCCCUCCCUCAUAGAAUCAUGUCCUGAUACACCUGCAAAACUCUCAUCUUGUCUUUUUAUCUUCAUUGUACAUGAUCUCAAAAGCACUGAGUAUUUUCUUCUUAGCCUCUGUGUUUUUUAUGAGUUAUGCUGGAAGUGCUUUCUGUUAAUCUCCAUGAAGAUUUCUGUACAGGAAGGGGACAAUGCAUUCUGGAAAGUGACCAGAGCAGAGUAUGUAUGUUGUGAAGUCAGGAGAAACUGAGUUUAAGCCCUGAUCCUCUCUUCAAGUUGACUGUGGGCUAGUUUAUCUAAAAACUUUAUCUAAAAACUAAAGAUAGAAAUUGUGAGACCUUGAAUGAACCAACCCAUAUUGGUUCAGGUCUAAAGACUAAACAUGCCAAGAUUUUAUUGGAGGGAAUGCCCCUUUGAAAAGAAAUAGGGAAGCAGUUUAGAAAGGCUGGUAGAGUUCAGAGUCCAAUCUAAGUCUCGCUCUGUAAAGGAGAGGGGGAUAAAGGUUGAGCAAAUGCAUCCCAGACCACUGUUUAGUAUGAGGGAGGGUUGACAAAAUCAUUGGGACAUCCUUGAGCUUAAGUUGGCCAGUAAUGGAGUCUCUGAGUCCUGAGUGUCCAAGGAUGGGGUCAAACUUAGAGUCCCUGCAGCAGCCAGUCACUGAGAGGGGCCAGCCUGUGAAAGAUGUAUCUUCAGCAUCAAUGUGGUGCAUCUGGGGUCUAAGUUGGUUGUGCUCCUCGAUGUAGUUACAGGAAAUGUGUAACUAUGUCCCCAUGGUGCCACAUUGCCUUACACAGUUCUUGGCAUACAAAGGUGACUGUACACCACUUUAAUGGAGUAAUAUGCCAUCCCCCAAACUUGGGAGGCAGGGCCCCUCUACUGCAAACAGAAGCAGACAAAGUCUUGACAUUGGCAAAGCGUGAGAUGGCGGGUGCUAGACGCAGUGAGCAGCACGUGGAAGAUGCUUGUGAAACACGGGAAGGGGCUCAAGUGUGAUGGAAAGGAUAUGCCCGGCUUCAAGUUCAGGUCCCAUGACAAACCUUUGGGAAAAUUUUGAGCCACUACAGAGAGUUGUUAAGAGGAUAAAUCCAGACAUCAAAACAUCAGUGCCAGGCAGUGAGCACUGGGUGUGUGAUGGCCUUUGUCUUACCUUUUUCUGUACCCCCUCCUCUUUACUCCCAAUCUUCUUCAUUUACUUUAUUUUAAAAAUCUUUUUAGGGCUAUUCCUGUGGCAUAUGAAAGUUCCUGGGCUAGUUGAAUUGGAGCCAAAGCUAAGGCCUAUGCCACAGCCACAGAAACACUGGAUCUGAGAUGUAUCUGCAACCUACACUGCAGCUUGCAGCAAUGCUGGAUCCUUAAUCCACUGAUCGAGGCCAGGGGUGGGACCCCCAUCCUCACAAGCACUAUAUUGGGUUCUUAACCCACGGAGCCACAAUAAGAACUCCUUCAUUUAGAUAAUGAAUUUAUCAAAGCACCUGCCUUAAGGCCCAGGCAUAAGCUUUGUGCACCACAUGCCUAAUUUUGGAAGGAAUGUUUAUGUACCCUUUCAGAGGCUAUACUUGCAAGGGGCAGGUUUAUUUAUGAGGGGAGAUCUUGGGGUUUUGGAGGCCUUGGGGUGGUCGCUGGGCAGGGAAGGGGCACCUGGAAUGUAUCAAACCUUUGUUCUUCUAACUGGUCACAGGGUCCCUUUAGAGAUGUUGCUCCAUGUAAUAGGUUCUUUAAUUUGGGGACCUAGCAGCCUCUUUCUACUUUCCCUCCACCCAUUCACACAACAUAUUUUUGAGCAGACUGUUGAGAUAAGUAAGAUAUUUUCACUGAGUGUCUUAGAUUGGAAUAUUCGAGAAGGUGACCACAGCACAAGGACUGGGUAUAGGUAGCCUACUGGGGAGACAAGCCCAGUAAGCAAUGAAAAGAAGCAUUCUCCUUGUGUAUCUCUUUCUCUUCCCUUAAUCUUCACUCCAGUAACACACUCGAAUCACCCGGGGAGAAUUCAAAACCUGUAACUGACAACUGGGCCCACCUUCACUCAGGGAUUCCAAUUCAGUUGUUCUUCACUGGGGCCUGAGCAUCAGUAUAUUUUAAAACCUUCCUAGAUUAUUCUAAGGUGUAGCCAGACCAAAGACCAUUACGAACCUUCAAGGUCAUUGAGAUCUACCUGUGUUCUCAUCGGUCAUGUGCACCUUCCCAGAUUAAAAUUUCACCAGUGGCUUCUGCCUGAGGAAAGUCAGGCAGGACUCCAAAGGAAUUAUCUUUUCAUCUGCUGACCCAGGGCCACUCCUUUCAGCACUUUAACACCCAGACAUCAGGCCCUGAAAGCCUCUGAAGGAGCUGUCUACAAUAAAAUGCUCUGAAUGGGGCUGGACAUCAGCAGGUCUAGAGAACAGACACAGAGAUACCUAACUGUUGUGCACGAGGUGUUAAUGGAUUCCUGGUAAAGCUGGCUUUUAGAUGGAGAAGCUUCAGGGACCUUAGAGGUAUGCAGGCCAGCACACUUCCUCCCUUUCUAGGUUUAGGAAUCCAGGUGGUAGAAGAACUUGGGGAAAAUAACCUGGUUGGUGGCUAGAAACUGGAGUGCUUAAUUAUAGGUGAAAGGCCAGAAAAGACAUGAGGAGUAUACAUUUUUUUAAUUGUUUUUUUUUCUUUCUUUCUCAUAUCUGUAAGCCAGCCUGUUUCUAAGUAAGUUAAGAAUCUUCAUUGUUUGCCCCACCUGAGUUUAAAUCCUCUUCCAUGUCCCCUUAAGUAUAACCUUGGAGAAAUUAUUUAACCUCUCUGGGUUUUAAUUUCUUUAUCUGCUAAGUGGGGCUACAGGGGAGCUUGCAUCAUUGGAUGGUCCCACGACAUGGUAGGUUUACAUGUGAUGACACAUGUAAAGUGCCUAGUGUGGUGCCCAGUUCAUAGAAAAACCCAAUCAGUGUUUUCUGUUAUUAAGUUGUUCAACUAAUUCUUAGCUCAGGAGCAUUCUGAUGAGAAUAGAAAUGAAAGGGCAUUGACACCAAAUAUGCACCAGGUGCCAGGUUAAACAAUUACAUAUAUAGAAUUUAAUUUAGUAUAUAUUAUAAACAUGUGAAGUAGGUAUCGUUAUUUCCACUUUACAGAUGAGGACACUGAGGCCGGGGGAGGCUAAAGGUCAGACAAAGGUCACACAAUGGCUUAUGGGUGAACCCUGGAUUCGGUAAACUCCAAUCAGACUUCCUCCCUCCACAGCACAUUUCCCUAGGGGAAGC